rnacentral:rRNA from 1 species
GGUUAAGCGACUAAGCGUACACGGUGGAUGCCCUGGCAGUCAGAGGCGAUGAAGGACGUGCUAAUCUGCGAUAAGCGUCGGUAAGGUGAUAUGAACCGUUAUAACCGGCGAUUUCCGAAUGGGGAAACCCAGUGUGUUUCGACACACUAUCAUUAACUGAAUCCAUAGGUUAAUGAGGCGAACCGGGGGAACUGAAACAUCUAAGUACCCCGAGGAAAAGAAAUCAACCGAGAUUCCCCCAGUAGCGGCGAGCGAACGGGGAGCAGCCCAGAGUCUGAAUCAGUGUGUGUGUUAGUGGAAGCGUCUGGAAAGGCGCGCGAUACAGGGUGACAGCCCCGUACACAAAAAUGCACAUGCUGUGAGCUCGAUGAGUAGGGCGGGACACGUGGUAUCCUGUCUGAAUAUGGGGGGACCAUCCUCCAAGGCUAAAUACUCCUGACUGACCGAUAGUGAACCAGUACCGUGAGGGAAAGGCGAAAAGAACCCCGGCGAGGGGAGUGAAAAAGAACCUGAAACCGUGUACGUACAAGCAGUGGGAGCCUCUUUAUGGGGUGACUGCGUACCUUUUGUAUAAUGGGUCAGCGACUUAUAUUCUGUAGCAAGGUUAACCGAAUAGGGGAGCCGAAGGGAAACCGAGUCUUAACUGGGCGUUAAGUUGCAGGGUAUAGACCCGAAACCCGGUGAUCUAGCCAUGGGCAGGUUGAAGGUUGGGUAACACUAACUGGAGGACCGAACCGACUAAUGUUGAAAAAUUAGCGGAUGACUUGUGGCUGGGGGUGAAAGGCCAAUCAAACCGGGAGAUAGCUGGUUCUCCCCGAAAGCUAUUUAGGUAGCGCCUCGUGAAUUCAUCUCCGGGGGUAGAGCACUGUUUCGGCAAGGGGGUCAUCCCGACUUACCAACCCGAUGCAAACUGCGAAUACCGGAGAAUGUUAUCACGGGAGACACACGGCGGGUGCUAACGUCCGUCGUGAAGAGGGAAACAACCCAGACCGCCAGCUAAGGUCCCAAAGUCAUGGUUAAGUGGGAAACGAUGUGGGAAGGCCCAGACAGCCAGGAUGUUGGCUUAGAAGCAGCCAUCAUUUAAAGAAAGCGUAAUAGCUCACUGGUCGAGUCGGCCUGCGCGGAAGAUGUAACGGGGCUAAACCAUGCACCGAAGCUGCGGCAGCGACACUAUGUGUUGUUGGGUAGGGGAGCGUUCUGUAAGCCUGUGAAGGUGUGCUGUGAGGCAUGCUGGAGGUAUCAGAAGUGCGAAUGCUGACAUAAGUAACGAUAAAGCGGGUGAAAAGCCCGCUCGCCGGAAGACCAAGGGUUCCUGUCCAACGUUAAUCGGGGCAGGGUGAGUCGACCCCUAAGGCGAGGCCGAAAGGCGUAGUCGAUGGGAAACAGGUUAAUAUUCCUGUACUUGGUGUUACUGCGAAGGGGGGACGGAGAAGGCUAUGUUGGCCGGGCGACGGUUGUCCCGGUUUAAGCGUGUAGGCUGGUUUUCCAGGCAAAUCCGGAAAAUCAAGGCUGAGGCGUGAUGACGAGGCACUACGGUGCUGAAGCAACAAAUGCCCUGCUUCCAGGAAAAGCCUCUAAGCAUCAGGUAACAUCAAAUCGUACCCCAAACCGACACAGGUGGUCAGGUAGAGAAUACCAAGGCGCUUGAGAGAACUCGGGUGAAGGAACUAGGCAAAAUGGUGCCGUAACUUCGGGAGAAGGCACGCUGAUAUGUAGGUGAAGCGACUUGCUCGUGGAGCUGAAAUCAGUCGAAGAUACCAGCUGGCUGCAACUGUUUAUUAAAAACACAGCACUGUGCAAACACGAAAGUGGACGUAUACGGUGUGACGCCUGCCCGGUGCCGGAAGGUUAAUUGAUGGGGUCAGCGCAAGCGAAGCUCUUGAUCGAAGCCCCGGUAAACGGCGGCCGUAACUAUAACGGUCCUAAGGUAGCGAAAUUCCUUGUCGGGUAAGUUCCGACCUGCACGAAUGGCGUAAUGAUGGCCAGGCUGUCUCCACCCGAGACUCAGUGAAAUUGAACUCGCUGUGAAGAUGCAGUGUACCCGCGGCAAGACGGAAAGACCCCGUGAACCUUUACUAUAGCUUGACACUGAACAUUGAGCCUUGAUGUGUAGGAUAGGUGGGAGGCUUAGAAGUGUGGACGCCAGUCUGCAUGGAGCCGACCUUGAAAUACCACCCUUUAAUGUUUGAUGUUCUAACGUUGACCCGUAAUCCGGGUUGCGGACAGUGUCUGGUGGGUAGUUUGACUGGGGCGGUCUCCUCCUAAAGAGUAACGGAGGAGCACGAAGGUUGGCUAAUCCUGGUCGGACAUCAGGAGGUUAGUGCAAUGGCAUAAGCCAGCUUGACUGCGAGCGUGACGGCGCGAGCAGGUGCGAAAGCAGGUCAUAGUGAUCCGGUGGUUCUGAAUGGAAGGGCCAUCGCUCAACGGAUAAAAGGUACUCCGGGGAUAACAGGCUGAUACCGCCCAAGAGUUCAUAUCGACGGCGGUGUUUGGCACCUCGAUGUCGGCUCAUCACAUCCUGGGGCUGAAGUAGGUCCCAAGGGUAUGGCUGUUCGCCAUUUAAAGUGGUACGCGAGCUGGGUUUAGAACGUCGUGAGACAGUUCGGUCCCUAUCUGCCGUGGGCGCUGGAGAACUGAGGGGGGCUGCUCCUAGUACGAGAGGACCGGAGUGGACGCAUCACUGGUGUUCGGGUUGUCAUGCCAAUGGCACUGCCCGGUAGCUAAAUGCGGAAGAGAUAAGUGCUGAAAGCAUCUAAGCACGAAACUUGCCCCGAGAUGAGUUCUCCCUGACUCCUUGAGAGUCCUGAAGGAACGUUGAAGACGACGACGUUGAUAGGCCGGGUGUGUAAGCGCAGCGAUGCGUUGAGCUAACCGGUACUAAUGAACCGUGAGGCUUAACCUU